GCCCCGGUAGCUCAACGGAUAGAGCAACGGUCUUCUAAACCGUAGGCUAGAGGUUCGAGUCCUCUCCGGGGCG
rnacentral:tRNA from 1 species